rnacentral:rRNA from 1 species
AUGGUGAGGCAUCGGUUCGUUGCCGUGCUCCUCAUGGGGGUAGUGGCAGCCUCCGCUUUCCACCAAGCAGCCGCUGCUGGCCGAGGCCUUGCUGCCGUUGAGAAGUUUGCAGAUCCAGAGCCAAAGCCAAAACCCAAACAAGAGCCAAUGCCAAAACCUAUGCCACACUCAGAGCCGGAGCCCUGCAAACCUGAACCGAUGCCCAAACCCAAACCGAAGUCUGGACCCAAGCCUGAACCCAAAACAAAGCCCGAGCCGAUGCCAAAACCGAAGCCAAAGCCCAAGCCCAAGCCUUGCUCCAAACCAAAGCCAAAGCCUAAGCCCGAUCCAAUGCCAAAACCUGAACCAAAGCUGGAGCCCAAGCCUAAACCUGAACCGAAACCGAAGCCGCCUCCGAAGUGCAAACCACCAACCACUCACAGUUGA